rnacentral:rRNA from 1 species
CGAGGCGGAGCGAAUCCCCAAAAGGCGUCUCAGUUCGGAUUGCAGGCUGCAACUCGCCUGUAUGAAGUCGGAAUUGCUAGUAAUCGUGGAUCAGCAUGCCACGGUGAAUACGUUCCCGGGCCUUGUACACACCGCCCGUCACACCAUGAGAGCCGGGAACACCCGAAGUCCGUAGUCUAACCUAUAGUGGGGGACGCGGCCGAAGGUUUGGGUUUGGUAAUUGGGGUGAAGUCGUAACAAGGUAUC